UGCAGCCUAAGCUUAGGUCGUAACUCUUUCUCCAUAUCCUUUUUAAACUGACAUAAACGAAUAUCAUUCUGUUGGGCCACUUUUAUCCAUUCGAUCAAUGCUGGUUGUACCAUUAAAUUGGCUAACAUAUUUUUAACAUCGGUACAAAUCACUUCAAUUUGUAAAUCUUUAAGAUCCCUCAGAAUUUGUUGCUGAGCAGAAAGC
rnacentral:lncRNA from 1 species